rnacentral:rRNA from 1 species
UGGGGAAUAUUGCACAAUGGGGGAAACCCUGAUGCAGCGACGCCGCGUGAACGAAGAAGGUAUUCGUAUCGUAAAGUUCUGUCCUAUGGGAAGAUAAUGACAGUACCAUAGAAGAAAGCUCCGGCUAAAUACGUGCCAGCAGCCGCGUAAUAAGUAUGGAGCGAGCGUUGUCCGGAAUUAUUGGGCGUAAAGGGUACGCAGGCGGUUUAAUAAGUCGAAUGUUAAAGAUCGGGGCUCAACCCCGCAAAGCAUUGGAAACUGAUAAACUUGAGUAGUGGAGAGGAAAGUGGAAUUCCUAGUGUAGUGGUGAAAUACGUAGAUAUUAGGAGGAAUACCAGUAGCGAAGGCGACGUUCUGGACACAAACUGACGCUGAGGUACGAAAGCGUGGGGAGCAAACAGG